rnacentral:ncRNA from 1 species
UUAAAGGCAAAGAAGAGGAGUAGUAGUCCUGAUCCUUGUAGUGCCCUCCAGAAAGGGAGAUGCUCAGAGAGCCGGUGGGUGGUGUGAACCGGUACAAGGAAUGGAUGAACUCGCCUCGGAGCCGCUUCGGUGAAUGGAACAUUUUGAUGUUCUGCCAGCCGAAGUCGUUUCCCGCGUAAAGGGAUAAACGAGGUCCGCCUGCGGGUGGACGAAAAAGGGUGGUACCGCGGAGCACAAGCCUUCGCCCCUUUG